rnacentral:rRNA from 1 species
UACGGGGGGGGCAAGCGUUGUUCGGAAUUACUGGGCGUAAAGGGCUCGUAGGCGGCCAACUAAGUCAGACGUGAAAUCCCUCGGCUUAACCGGGGAACUGCAUCUGAUACUGGAUGGCUUGAGUUCGGGAGAGGGAUGCGGAAUUCCAGGUGUAGCGGUGAAAUGCGUAGAUAUCUGGAGGAACACCGGUGGCGAAAGCGGCUCACUGGAUCGAAACUGACGCUGAGGUGCGAAAGCUAGGGUAGCAAACGGG